rnacentral:rRNA from 1 species
AAUCAACGCUGGCGGCGUGCCUAACACAUGCAAGUCGAACGAGAAAGGGGCUUCGGCCCUGAGUAAAGUGGCGCACGGGUGAGUAACACGUGACUAACCUACCCUGGAGUGGGGAAUAACUUCGAGAAAUCGAGGCUAAUACCGCAUAACGCCUACGGGUCAAAGGAGCAAUUCGCUUCAGGAGGGGGUCGCGGCAGAUUAGUUAGUUGGCAGGGUAAUGGCCUACCAAGACAGUGAUCUGUAUCCGGCCUGAGAGGGCGCACGGACACACUGGAACUGAAACACGGUCCAGACUCCUACGGGAGGCAGCAGUGGGGAAUUUUGCGCAAUGGGGGAAACCCUGACGCAGCAACGCCGCGUGGAGGAUGAAGUCUCUUGGGACGUAAACUCCUUUCGACCGGGACGAUAAUGACGGUACCGGAAGAAGAAGCCCCGGCUAACUUCGUGCCAGCCGCCGCAGUAAGAC